rnacentral:lncRNA from 1 species
GAAAGUACCAACUAAAAUACCCAUGCGAUUUGACAUAUAUAAGUUGCCCUUUCAUAUUGGCCUUUAGAAAGGACAAAUGAUACCAGAUGUGGCAUACAAAUGACUAAAAAAUAAAAUCAUAUUCCCAGAUACUAUGCUACUCCAGUAUCCAGGUGGCAUGUAAGCCACUAUGUAACUGGCAAAGACAAUUGAGAAUUCAGAUGAGAGAUAUUGCCACAUUGGCAUGAGAGGAAUUAAUCAUUCAAUGCAACUAAAUUUCAGAAAAAGAAGUUAUUAAGCAGAGACAACGGAGCUUGGAUAUUACAUUAAUACAUAGAUGAAUCUUCCUUGCAACUUGCUUGGAUUUUCAUCGACCUUGUAUGCAUAGGUAAGAGAGAAUCUGCACAAACAAAGAUUAGAGAUUCGGGGGAUUAAUGAAAAGAGAGUAGUACGAUAGAGAGAAAGUGGACAAAUCAGUAGGAAGUAGGAAUAGUAGCACACCUAGUCCUAAAAAAUAGGGACCGGCCUCACUGAGGCAUGGAGCUGCUCGUGGUAACAUAGCAGCGGAGUUACUUAGUUGAAUAACGUACGUGGGGAAAAAUAUUCCACGGCUAGCACAAAACCUGUGAAGUAUGAAGACAACACAAUUACAUCUACAUGAGGAGCAGGCUGCGAGGUUGGCGGUAUUUACCACGGUGACUUUCUAUAGGUCAGGCUUCUAAUAGUGGCCCACCGAAAAGUUAUAAGCUCUGUGCACAAAAAAAAAAAAACAGGGACAAGGAACCAUUUACGAAAUGCUGCAUGUAUUUCCUAUGUAACAAAGAAAUAAUAGGAAACUGGAGAUGUGUUUAUUGGACUAGCACAUAGUUCUAUAUGCUAGUCAGAAGUAAGUGAGGGCGUUCUACAUUGUUUGCUGUAUCACUGCACUAGGACAUCAAAACAAAUGACAAAGUUAAAGAUUAUGUUUCACUUUGUCAUUCAACUUGAUGACAACAACUUGUACAACUAAAAAAUAUCAGGUCGUUAACAGCAGAUGCUUUACUUAACUAUAGCUUGUUAAAAAUAAAGCUAAAAGUCUGCACAACCAUGCAUACUUUUGUAUGCUAAAAACCCUUAGAAGAAUAAUAUAGAAUAUUGAAUCCCUGAUUCUCAACUGAACAUUUACUAAAUGCAUUGUAAGAAUCUGGCAAGCCCUUGUAGUACUUCUCCGUAUGCCUACAUGCAAGUGUACAUAUGCAACGCGUUACAUCAGAUAUCAGCAAGUACUAACAUCUAAUCUAAGAUGUUUAACAUAUGGGGUGUUGUACCUAGGUGUAUCCAUCGAAUCUUUGUCCAUGCUAGUUGCACCUGCACACAUGAUUAAUAGUGAAUUUAAAUGCCUCACACACUGUCCACACACAAAAAAACUAGAAAUUUCAAAAUGUGAAUAGAACUAUGAAACUGAAACAAAAAUCAAAAUCAAACCCUUUCUAUGUCUCGCAUGUGGAUCAUAGGAAACAGAAUAGGUGUUCCAGGAAUUGAACUUCAUAGGAAACAAUUAAGUCUAGCAAGAAUUCAUUAUAUCAUUAUCAAACAGUUUCUAACAGUAUAAGAAAAAACCUUUUGGAAAUCCACAUGUCGUUCGGAUCCCGCUGGUUAGUAGGUUUGGCCCCCUUCUUUUGCCAGGCACUGCUUUAAAUGUUCACCAACAAUAUUAUACAUGUGGUGUCAUACGUUGUCCACACACAAAAUAACAGGAAAAGGCAAAAUCUAAAAUAUACAAGUUCAACCGAAGUUGCUGCUCAUCAAGGAAUAGCAAGAGAUUAUGCAAGUCAGGUACAGUACUGUUAUCAUGACAACUAGGAACUAAAGGUGCCACGCUGAAUUGGUAUCUUAGGGCCUGUUCGGCCGCUCUCCGCGGAGCGGAGCCGGCGGAGCGCCCUUUUAGCAGCUCUGCGUAUUAUACCUAGCAAGCCACUCCGCUCCGGCGCGGAGCCGCGGAGCGGAGGGAGUCCGAACGCGACCUUAAUUUAUGGGCGGAGGCAAGAUCUGAAACUGAACCAGAAUCUCAAGUUUCGGUUUGCCUUAUAAUGUAUUAUUGCUACACAGAUAAUUAUUAUUCUUGUACAUGAUCUCAACUUGUCACAGGACAUCAUUAGCAUUUUCAUAUAUUCUCUCGGAUCCCACUUUUCAAAGCCAGAACAACAUUCAAGAGUCUAAACUAUGGUGACAACCCAAGGUUCAGAGCAAUAAAUAUAUCAUUAAAAUCAGUCUAAAUGUGCCAUUUUCCACAAAGUAUCAUCAUAGUUAAGAUCUAUAGCUAAGUUCUAUGUUCCAAAUUUAAGCACUAUGCUAGUUACUUAUGAUGACAAUACACUAAGCAAAUUUCUUUUGAUAACGAAGGUCAACCAAAUUGACCACUAUGCAGAAGGUGUGCUCAUGCAUAACAACUACACUGUUUUCUUCUCAAAGCACAUAGUACGUGCAAAUUAGCUUUCAAAAUCCACACAUAACAUAAGCAGGAACAUGUGGAGGGGGGAAACAAUUCUUCCGAAGAGAAAUCGUUGUAUUGCUGUGAAAUAGCUAACACACGAGGUGGAUAAAGACCUUGCAUUAGAAGGACUAAAACCAACCCACUGUGCUAGUUGGAUCUGGAAGAGGCAUCUUGGAGCAUACCUUCUUGGCCGGCAGCACCUCCAGGAGAUGGUGAGCUUGGGCGCGAACGAAAAGGGAAGCUCCCGGCAGGGUUUGGA